rnacentral:rRNA from 1 species
CUUUAAAAACCAUAAAAAAAUAAUUUUUCCCUUAGGGGAACAAAAAAAAAGGUGGUGCAUGGUUUUUUUCAUCUCUUUUUGUAAAAUUUUGGUUUAACCCCCCCAAGGAGCCCACCCCUUUCUUUUAUUCCCCAACAUUAAGUUGGGCAUUUUAAGGAGACUCCCGGUUUCAAACCGGAGGAAGGUGGGGAUGACGUCAAAUCCUCAUGCCCCUUAUGUCCAGGGCUACAAACGUGCUACAAUGGCCGGUACAAAGGGUUCCAAAACCGCGAGGUGAAGCCAAUCCCAAAAAACCAUUCUCAGUUCGGAUUGUAUUCUGCAACUCGACUCCAUGAAGUCGGAAUCGCUAGUAAUCCCGGAUCAGCAUGCCGCGGUGAAUACGU